UGCCGCGUGGCGCAGUGGCUAGCGCUGCUGUCCAUCAGUUUUGAGGUCCCGGGUUCGAUCCCCAGUGGGGUCA